GAAUCUUGGACAAUGGGCGCAAGCCUGAUCCAGCCAUGCCGCGUGAGUGAUGAAGGCCCUAGGGUUGUAAAACUCUUUCGCUGGGGAAGAUAAUGACGGUACCCAGUAAAGAAGCCCCGGCUAACUCCGUGCCAGCAGCCGCGGUAAUACGGAGGGGGCUAGCGUUGUUCGGAAUUACUGGGCGUAAAGCGCGCGUAGGCGGAUUGGAAAGUUGGGGGUGAAAUCCCGGGGCUCAACCCCGGAACGGCCUCCAAAACUAUCAGUCUUGAGUUCGAGAGAGGUGAGUGGAAUUGCGAGUGUAGAGGUGAAAUUCGUAGAUAUUCGCAGGAACACCAGUGGCGAAGGCGGCUCACUGGCUCGAUACUGACGCUGAGGUGCGAAAGUGUGGGGAGCAAACAGG
rnacentral:rRNA from 1 species